rnacentral:rRNA from 1 species
AUAACAUGUUGAACCGCAUGGUUCUACAGUGAAAGACGGUCUUGCUGUCACUUAUAGAUGGACCCGCGCCGUAUUAGCUAGUUGGUGGGGUAACGGCCUACCAAGGCGACGAUACGUAGCCGACCUGAGAGGGUGAUCGGCCACACUGGAACUGAGACACGGUCCAGACUCCUACGGGAGGCAGCAGUAGGGAAUCUUCCGCAAUGGGCGAAAGCCUGACGGAGCAACGCCGCGUGAGUGAUGAAGGUCUUCGGAUCGUAAAGCUCUGUUGUUAGGGAAGAACAAAUGUGUAAGUAACUGUGCACAUCUUGACGGUACCUAACCAGAAAGCCACGGCUAACUACGUGCCAGCAGCCGCGGUAAUACGUAGGUGGCAAGCGUUAUCCGGAAUUAUUGGGCGUAAAGCGCGCGUAGGCGGUUUUUUAAGUCUGAUGUGAAAGCCCACGGCUCAACCGUGGAGGGUCAUUGGAAACUGGAAAACUUGAGUGCAGAAGAAGAAAGUGGAAUUCCAUGUGUAGCGGUGAAAUGCGCAGAAAUAUGGAGGAACACCAGUGGCGAAAGCGGCUUUCUGGUCUGCAACUGACACUUAUAUGCGAAAACGUGGGGAUCUCACACGAUUAUAUACCCUGGGAGUCCACACCCUAUACGAUAAGUGCUAAGUGUGUAUGGGGGUUUUCCCCCCUCUUUGCUGCUGAUAACAAAGUAAUACACUCCUCCCGCGGGAGAACAGUGGGCAAGAACAGAUAACACACAGGAAGUUUUUGGGGGGGACCCCCCAAAAAGUUGGAGCAAGAGGGUGU